rnacentral:rRNA from 1 species
AGAGUUUGAUCCUGGCUCAGGAUGAACGCUAGCGACAGGCUUAACACAUGCAAGUCGAGGGGCAGCGGGGGAGUAGCAAUACUCCCGCCGGCGACCGGCGCACGGGUGAGUAACACGUAUGAAACCUGCCCGUAGCAGGGGGAUAAGCGGAAGAAAUUCCGUCUAAUACCGCGUAACAACCCUUGGAGGCAUCUCCUCGGGUUUAAAGGGAGCGAUUCCGGCUACGGAUGGUCAUGCGUCGCAUUAGCUUGUUGGCGGGGUAACGGCCCACCAAGGCGACGAUGCGUAGGGGUUCUGAGAGGAAGGUCCCCCACACUGGUACUGAGACACGGACCAGACUCCUACGGGAGGCAGCAGUGAGGAAUAUUGGUCAAUGGCCGCAGGGCUGAACCAGCCAAGUCGCGUGAGGGAUGACGGUCCUAUGGAUUGUAAACCUCUUUUGUCAGGGAGCAAAGGGCGUCACGUGUGGCGUUUUGCGAGUACCUGAAGAAAAAGCAUCGGCUAACUCCGUGCCAGCAGCCGCGGUAAUACGGAGGAUGCGAGCGUUAUCCGGAUUUAUUGGGUUUAAAGGGUGCGCAGGCGGAAUGUCAAGUCAGCGGUAAAAUUUCGGGGCUCAACCCCGUCGUGCCGUUGAAACUGGCGUUCUUGAGUGAGCGAGAAGUAUGCGGAAUGCGUGGUGUAGCGGUGAAAUGCAUAGAUAUCACGCAGAACUCCGAUUGCGAAGGCAGCAUACCGGCGCUCAACUGACGCUCAUGCACGAAAGCGUGGGUAUCGAACAGGAUUAGAUACCCUGGUAGUCCACGCAGUAAACGAUGAAUACUAACUGUCCGGGCAGAAUGAUGUCUGGGUGGUACAGCGAAAGCGUUAAGUAUUCCACCUGGGGAGUACGCCGGCAACGGUGAAACUCAAAGGAAUUGACGGGGGCCCGCACAAGCGGAGGAACAUGUGGUUUAAUUCGAUGAUACGCGAGGAACCUUACCCGGGCUCAAACGACGGAUGGAUGUUUCUGAAAGGAGGCAGUCCUACGGGACAUCCGUCGAGGUGCUGCAUGGUUGUCGUCAGCUCGUGCCGUGAGGUGUCGGCUUAAGUGCCAUAACGAGCGCAACCCCCAUCGCCAGUUACCAGCAAGUAAAGUUGGGGACUCUGGCGAGACUGCCGGCGCAAGCUGUGAGGAAGGCGGGGAUGACGUCAAAUCAGCACGGCCCUUACGUCCGGGGCGACACACGUGUUACAAUGGCAGGUACAGAGAGAUGCGAUGUGGCGACGCAGAGCGGAACUUCAAAGCCUGUCUCAGUUCGGAUUGGAGUCUGCAACCCGACUCCAUGAAGCUGGAUUCGCUAGUAAUCGCGCAUCAGCCACGGCGCGGUGAAUACGUUCCCGGGCCUUGCACUCACCGCCCGUCA